GAUGAACGCUGGCGGCGUGCCUAAUACAUGCAAGUCGAGCGAACAGACGAGGAGCUUGCUCCUCUGACGUUAGCGGCGGACGGGUGAGUAACACGUGGAUAACCUACCUAUAAGACUGGGAUAACUUCGGGAAACCGGAGCUAAUACCGGAUAAUAUAUUGAACCGCAUGGUUCAAUAGUGAAAGACGGUUUUGCUGUCACUUAUAGAUGGAUCCGCGCCGCAUUAGCUAGUUGGUAAGGUAACGGCUUACCAAGGCAACGAUGCGUAGCCGACCUGAGAGGGUGAUCGGCCACACUGGAACUGAGACACGGUCCAGACUCCUACGGGAGGCAGCAGUAGGGAAUCUUCCGCAAUGGGCGAAAGCCUGACGGAGCAACGCCGCGUGAGUGAUGAAGGUCUUCGGAUCGUAAAACUCCGUUAUUAGGGAAGAACAAAUGUGUAAGUAACUAUGCACGUCUUGACGGUACCUAAUCAGAAAGCCACGGCUAACUACG
rnacentral:rRNA from 1 species